rnacentral:misc_RNA from 1 species
UAAUAAUAAAAGAAAUAAAUUGAACAACUCCAACAUAUAUUUAAAUUAUUGGUGCUACCAUAAAUACCGUAUAUAUCUGCUUACAACAUUUAAAUAAUGGAGAUCAAACUGCAACAAUUCUGAAAAUCUCACAAAUACCAUGAAAAUUCCUAACUCAGAAUAUUGUUGGAAGAAAUGAAAAUGCUAAGCCAAUAAUAAAUGCUUGGGCAGAGCCUGCAAUGUUUGAAGCUCCACUGCCAUUUUCUCCGGCUGAUGGACUGCUAUCUAAACCUGACGGCGUUAUAUCACCUACAACAUUAUCUUCUAUUAAUAUUCUACAAUACAUUUAUUUCGCCGAUAAAAGUUCUAUAUAUAGAUUUAGAUUUUGUUUAGUAGCAGAUUUUUACCCAACUAAUGAAUUUUUCUCAAAAGCAGACACACACGCACGUGGGCACACUUUUGGUAAAACUAUGACAAUUUUACUAAAACAUACUAAUUCAUAUAAACCACAUAUACACACAUAUCUACUAUUGAUGUGGGAGCUCGAAAGCUCAGCCCCACUUGACUUUAAGAUUUUUUUUAUCAAAGGCGCACACGCACACGCACACGCACAUGCACAUGCACACAUAAAUGUUUGUAUUUGUUCAUUUAAACUUCAUUUGUUUCCUAUUCGUCAGACAAUAAUCUUUUGGAGUGAGGGUGUGUUUUUGCGUGUGCAUUUGUGCCUAAUAAUAUAUUGUUAGAAGUUUUGUGAUUAUGCCCCUCAAUAAGCUUGCCUAUUGAUAACUUAUGAACUUUGGGAACAAGUGGGAGGGAAUCUGUCUGUGUAUUGUGUUUGGUCCCCAAAUCUUGCUACAAGGGGCAGUUGCUAACUUUUUAAAAGUUUUUAAUACCCUUGCAGUCUUGCCUGUGAGCAUGGUUGAAUUGAAUUGUUCAUUCCAUUCAGUAUCAAUUUUAAACACUUGUUUUAAAAGAGUGGGCUUUCCUUCGGAUCUCAAAAAAGUUGAGGGCAAGGAAAGGAAAGGAAAUUUACAGGUCAAUGGGCUUUCCUUAAGCUAGAUGACAAUUUUCCUUUCCUUUCCCUCAAUGCUUUUGACAUCCAAAUGGGGUCAUAAAGUAGGAAAUUGUGCUUUUUAGGAUGCCUGUGCAGUGUACCUGCACAUCUACGGGCUGUUCAAAUUAUUGGUUUGGCAGGUAUCCAUCAACUAAUUCCUUGCUACUUGCUAUUCUUAAGAGGGAGAACACAUGUAGUAUCUGUGCUUGAUUCAAUAUCCCCAUCUCGGGCAUUUAAUUGGUAUUUCAUGAUGUAAAUCUGGCCAUGCUACUGUUGCUGGAUAUAGAAUGUGAGCAAGAGCUGAGGAAU